rnacentral:rRNA from 1 species
CCUACGGGCGGCAGCAGUGAGGAAUAUUGGUCAAUGGACGCAAGUCUGAACCAGCCAUGCCGCGUGCAGGAAGAAGGCUCUAUGAGUGGUAAACUGCUUUUUUACGAGGGUAAAUCCCGAGACGUGUAUCGGGUUGGAAGUAGCUUACGAAUAAGGAUCGGCUACCUCCGUGCCAGCAGCCGCGGUAAUACGGAGGAUUCAAGCGUUAUCCGGAUUUAUUGGGUUUAAUGGGUGCGUAGGCGGUUCGAUAAGUUAGAGGUGAAAUCCCUGGGCUCAACACCGGCACUGCCUUUGAUACUGUCGGGCUAGAGUUUAGUUGCGGUAGGCGGAAUGUAUGGUGUAGCGGUGAAAUGCAUAGAGAUCAUACAGAACACCGAUUGCGAAGGCAGCUUACCAAACUACGACUGACGUUGAGGCACGAAAGCGUGGGGAGCAAACAGGAUUAGAUACCCUGGUAGUC